rnacentral:miRNA from 1 species
CUUCCUUUCUCAAUCUGUUGCA